GACGAACGCUGGCGGCGUGCUUAACACAUGCAAGUCGAACGGACAGGCCUGCUUUCCCUUGUGGUUUGCGGGUACUCGAGUGGCGAAGGGGCGAGUAACACGUGAGUCUUCUGCACCCAACUUGGGUAUAAGCCUGGGAAACUGGGUCUAAUUCUCGAUAGAACUGCAGGGUGCUGCAUGUGGUGGCAGACGUUCUUCUAGUGGUAGGGGAUGAGCUGGCGGACUAUCAGCUUGGUGGUGGGGUAAUGGCCUACAAAGGCGGGGAGGGGUAGCCGGAGGGGGAGCGUCGACGGCGGCAUUGGGACUGAGUUCCGACCCAGACUGCUAGGGGAGGUAGCAGUGGGGAAGAGUGCAGAGUGGGCGGAAGCCUGAAGCAGCGACGGCGCGUGGAGGAUGACGGGCUUCGGGUUGUAAGCUCCUAUCGAACGCGAGGAAGCCACGUGGUUGGAAGGGUGGUGACGGUAGUGGAAGAAGAAGCACCGGCUAACUACGUG
rnacentral:rRNA from 1 species